rnacentral:rRNA from 1 species
UACGGAGGAUCCGAGCGUUAUCCGGAUUUAUUGGGUUUAAAGGGCGCGUAGGCGGACUGGUAAGUCAGUUGUGAAAGUUUAGGGCUCAACCGUGAAAUUGCAGGUGAUACUGUUGGUCUUGAGUAUACAUGAGGUGGGCAGAAUUUGUGGUGUAGCGGUGAAAUGCUUAGAUAUCACGAGGAACUCCAAUUGCGAAGGCAGCUCACUGGAGUAUAACUGACGCUGAUGCACGAAGGUGUGGGUAUCAAACAGG